rnacentral:tRNA from 1 species
GGGGGCUGUCGCAUUUUGCGUAGCGGGUGCUUUGGGAGCACUAGGUCGCAGGUUCGAAUCCUGUCGCCCCGACCA